rnacentral:rRNA from 1 species
UACGUAGGGUGCAAGCGUUAAUCGGAAUUACUGGGCGUAAAGCGUGCGCAGGCGGUGAUGUAAGUCAGAUGUGAAAUCCCCGGGCUCAACCUGGGAACUGCAUUUGUGACUGCAUCGCUGGAGUGCGGCAGAGGGGGAUGGAAUUCCGCGUGUAGCAGUGAAAUGCGUAGAGAUGCGGAGGAACACCGAUGGCGAAGGCAGCCCCCUGGGCCAACACUGACGCUCAGGCACGAAAGCGUGGGGAGCAAACAGG